rnacentral:rRNA from 1 species
UUGUGGGUGGAUUAGUGGCGAACGGGUGAGUAACACGUGAGUAACCUGCCCUUGACUCUGGGAUAAGCCUGGGAAACUGGGUCUAAUACCGGAUAUGACUGAUCAUCGCAUGGUGGUUGGUGGAAAGCUUUUUGUGGUUUUGGAUGGACUCGCGGCCUAUCAGCUUGUUGGUGAGGUAAUGGCUUACCAAGGCGACGACGGGUAGCCGGCCUGAGAGGGUGACCGGCCACACUGGGACUGAGACACGGCCCAGACUCCUACGGGAGGCAGCAGUGGGGAAUAUUGCACAAUGGGCGCAAGCCUGAUGCAGCGACGCCGCGUGAGGGAUGACGGCCUUCGGGUUGUAAACCUCUUUCAGUAGGGAAGAAGCCUUUCGGGGUGACGGUACCUGCAGAAGAAGCGCCGGCUAACUACGUGCCAGCAGCCGCGGUAAUACGUAGGGCGCAAGCGUUAUCCGGAAUUAUUGGGCGUAAAGAGCUCGUAGGCGGUUUGUCGCGUCUGCCGUGAAAGUCCGGGGCUCAACUCCGGAUCUGCGGUGGGUACGGGCAGACUAGAGUGAUGUAGGGGAGACUGGAAUUCCUGGUGUAGCGGUGAAAUGCGCAGAUAUCAG